ACAUCAUGUAGUUUGAAGUUCUUGAUCACUACAAACAUGUGGAUAAAAUUCACAUCUUGGUAAUGAUCCUGUUCUCAGAAUUUCUGCUUUAUCCAGUGUUCUCAUUUUAUUUCUGCAAUAUUCUGAAGUUGAAAACCAUCCGAAGAAUAAGUUGUCAUCGAUGUAACUUAAGGAAGGGUUGUGACCAUAUUUCAUGGAUGCUUAACAAAUUGCUUGUACAUGUAACAUGUACAUUUAGUAUGAUAUCAACAGUUCUCAUUUAUAUUUAAUAUAUUAUUUACUUUUUUAUGUUAGCAUACAGGUGUUUAUAUCGUCAAUAUAAUUAUAUAUAACGAUCUCUUAUGCGUAAGAAUCCAUAAUUUAGACAUAA